rnacentral:lncRNA from 1 species
UAUUAGGUUAACUUAUAGGGUGCGUUUGGUUCGGAUUAUCAUGACAAGAUUACAAAUAAUUUUGUUAAAGUUAUUGUGUUUAGUUCAUCCGGUACGUAAUCUCCUUGGUAUUAUAGUAUUACAAAAGGUGUAAGAUUAUACCGAAAAUAGGUGUGUAUAUCGUGAAUUACUGAAGGCGGGUAAUAUUGCAUACAAGUUACGGGACCCGCGUGAUGCGGCGUGAAAACAAUACAACAGUAAAUUAUUAUAACUAUUAAUAUCACUUCUUUUUUUUUUUUCUAUUACGCAUUAAUAUUUUUAAAUAUUAAUGCUUUGAACCUGUAAGGGUUCCUGAUUAAUAAGUUUGAUGCGACCGACCGUCCCUGGAGCAAGUGGCAAAGGGCUUGAUGGUUGGUACCCAAGACCCAAGUUCGAAUCCUAGUUGAUUCACAUUUCCAGCUAAGUAUUUUUUAAAUGAAAUAAACGAAGUGGGUAGCAUGUUACCUAUCUCUCUCUCUCAAAAAAAAAGGUUUGAUGCGGCUGGAAGAUAAUACAAUAAUAAAUUAUUAUAGCUAUUAAUAUCACUUUAAAUUAAAAUUUUAAUUUUGAAUGCAAAUUCAAAUAUCAAAAUUAUAAUUAGUACAACAUUUUAAUUUUAAGAUUUAAAUUUAAAAUUUAAAAUUUUUAUAUCGGGGUAAUAUUGCAUAUUAUCUAAAAUUAC